rnacentral:rRNA from 1 species
AUGGUUGUCGUCAGCUCGUGUCGUGAGAUGUUGGGUUAAGUACCCGCAACGAGCCGCAACCCCUAUUGUUAGUUGCCAUCAUUCAGUUGGGCACUCUAGCGAGACUGCCGGUAAUAAACCGGAGGAAGUGGGGAUGACGUCAAAUCAUCAUGCCCCUUAUGACCUGGGCUACACACGUGCUACAAUGGUUGGUACAACGAGUUGCGAGUCGGUGACGGCGAGCUAAUCUCUUAAAGCCAAUCUCAGUUCGGAUUGUAGGCUGCAACUCGCCUACAUGAAGUCGGAAUCGCUAGUAAUCGCGGAUCAGCACGCCGCGGUGAAUACGUUCCCGGGCCUU